rnacentral:rRNA from 1 species
AUUGAACGCUGGCGGCAGGCCUAACACAUGCAAGUCGGACGGUAACAGGAAGCAGCUUGCUGCUUCGCUGACGAGUGGCGGACGGGUGAGUAAAGUCCGGGAAACUGCCUGAUGGAGGGGGAUAACUACUGGAAACGGUAGCUAAUACCGCAUAACGUCGCAAGACCAAAGAGGGGGACCUUCGGGCCUCUUGCCAUCAGAUGUGCCCAGAUGGGAUUAGCUAGUAGGUGGGGUAAAGGCUCACCUAGGCGACGAUCCCUAGCUGGUCUGAGAGGAUGACCAGCCACACUGGAACUGAGACACGGUCCAGACUCCUACGGGAGGCAGCAGUGGGGAAUAUUGCACAAUGGGCGCAAGCCUGAUGCAGCCAUGCCGCGUGUAUGAAGAAGGCCUUCGGGUUGUAAAGUACUUUCAGCGGGGAGGAAGGCCAUGCGGUUAAUAACCGUGUUGAUUGACGUUACCCGCAGAAGAAGCACCGGCUAACUCCGUGCCAGCCGCCGCGGUAA